AUUGAACGCUGGCGGCAUGCUUUACACAUGCAAGUCGAACGGCAGCAUAGGUGCUUGCACCUGAUGGCGAGUGGCGAACGGGUGAGUAAUACAUCGGAACGUGCCCAGUCGUGGGGGAUAACGUAGCGAAAGUUACGCUAAUACCGCAUACGAUCUAAGGAUGAAAGCGGGGGACCGUAAGGCCUCGCGCGAUUGGAGCGGCCGAUGUCAGAUUAGGUAGUUGGUGAGGUAAAGGCUCACCAAGCCGACGAUCUGUAGCUGGUCUGAGAGGACGACCAGCCACACUGGGACUGAGACACGGCCCAGACUCCUACGGGAGGCAGCAGUGGGGAAUUUUGGACAAUGGACACAAGUCUGAUCCAGCCAUUCCGCGUGCAGGACGAAGGCCUUCGGGUUGUAAACUGCUUUUGUACGGAACGAAAAAGCUCUUACUAAUACUAGGAGUCCAUGACGGUACCGUAAGAAUAAGCACCGGCUAACUACGUGCCAGCCGCCGCGGUAA
rnacentral:rRNA from 1 species